rnacentral:lncRNA from 1 species
AUGAGUGGAGCAGGCAUGGACCAGGAAGAAGCCCAGGACAUCUCUGAAGAGGCUAAUUUUGAAUGGAGGGGCCGGCACUGUGGCAUAGCUGGUAAAGCCGCUGCCUACAGUGCCAGCAUCCCACAUGGGCGCCGGUUCAGAUCCCAGCUGCUCCACUUCCGAUCCAGCUCUCUGCUGUGGCCUGGGAAAGCAGUGGAAGAUGGCCCAAGUUCUUGGGCCCCUGCACCCAUGUGGGAAGACUGGGAGGAAGCUCCUGGCUCCUGGCUUCAGAUCAGCUCAGCUCCAGCUGUUUCGGCCAUCUGGGGAGUGAACCAGCAGAUGGAAGACCCCCCCCGCCGCCACCGCUCCUUCUCUCUAACUCUUUCAAAUAAAUAAAUAAAUCUUAAAAAAAUUUUUUUGAAUGGAGACCUUGGUGAGGCAAAGGAAUAAGACCACCCAGAGAAGGCAGUGGGGACAGGACAUGUGAAGCCGGGUGGCCGUGUGUGUGUGUGUGGGAGUGUGUAUAUGUGUGUGUGUGUGGAGGGGAGUGUGUGGGAGUGUGUGUGUGGGAGUGUGGGGGGAGUGUGUGUGUGAGUGUGGGAGUGUGUGUGUGGAGUGUGUGUGUGUGGGAGUGUGUGUGUGGGAGUGUGUGUGUGUUUAGGUGUGUGUGUGUUUGGGUGUGUGUGGGGGAGUGUGAGUGGGGGUGUGUGUGGGAGUGUGUGUGUGUGUGUGUGUUUGGGUGUGUGUGUGUGUGAGUGUGUGUGUGAGUGUGUGUGUGUGAGUGUGUGUGAGUGUGUGAGUGUGUGUGUUUGGGUGUGUAUAUGUUUGGGUGUGUGAGUGUGUGUUUGGGUGUGUGUGUGGGAGUGUGUGUGAGUGUGUGUGUUUGGGUGUGUAUGUGUUUGGGUGUGUGAGUGUGUGUUUGGGUGUGUGUGUGGGAGUGUGUGUGUGAGUGUGUGUGUGGGAGUGUGUGUGGGAGUGUGUGUGGGAGUGUGUGGUGUAGACCCUGCAGGGGUGCACGAGCCUUGCAGCCUUCGCUGUGUGCCGGGAGUUCCGUGUUGGUGGGCUGGCAUUGGCUGCCGAGGCGCGGGGGCCGCUGUGACCAUGCGGGCACGGGAGGUGGUGGCUGUACAUCCAGGACCCUCAGGGAUUGCCCGUGGCACUGAACAGGGCUGUGUGGGUCAGAGCUGGCUGCAAAUCAUGGCUGCCCGGGCGUGGGAAAACCAGCACGGGGGCAUGACCUGCCCGGGAAAACCUGUCCCUGUUGUUGGCUAAAAGCAAGUCCCAAGGAGCAACCACAGAGUCCGGAGCAAAGGGGACGCGCUCAGCCCCUCCCGUGACAGGCGGCUGCCGCGGGGGACAGCGAGUGGGGACUCUGCAGGCAGUGUUCCUCCCCAGCACGGACGGCCUCACCUCCCGGGCUCUGCUCACCCCCCGCCCCCCCGGCCUAAGCCACGUCUCAGCUCGCUGGGCUGGCCCGGCCCCACCCCCGCAGCCCACAGCCUGCUCUCUGCCCCCUCCAGCGGCGGGCAGUGUGGUCCCCUCCCUCACCAUCCAAACAGAAGCAGGUUUGAUCCAUGCAAUGUGGGNNNNNNNNNNNNNNNNNNNNNNNNNNNNNNNNNNNNNNNNNNNNNNNNNNNNNNNNNNNNNNNNNNNNNNNNNNNNNNNNNNNNNNNNNNNNNNNNNNNNCAGCAGUAUCCAUGGAAACUGAGUGGCUCCGCCCUCUGCCCCCCAACCGUGGACCCUGCAGCAGUGCACGGAGACUGACCCCAGCCCCCUGCCAUGCCCCUCCCCCACCCCUCCUGCACUGCCCCUCCCCUGUCCCCCAGCUCUGAGCCUUGGUGGGACUCUCCGCUGCCUUGGUUCCAAGUGUCACUUCUAAGGCCACUCUCCCAGGGAUCAGUCCCCAGUCCUGACCUCUCAGUGGCUUCACCAGUGGCUGCUUCUUUUUUGCGAUGUAUAGAAUUCACGUCAUAAAGUUCGCCACCUUAAAGUGCACAUCCCACUAGGUUUUAGUAUGUUCUCAAGGUUGUGCAAACAUCAGCAUUAUGUGACCCCAGAAUAUUUUUGUCACCCCUCCCCAAAACAAGCCAUGGGCUGCCCCUCCCACGCUGGUGUGCCCAGGCCGUGGCAGUCACUCACCUGCUCUGUGUGGAUUCGCCUCCCUGGGAAAGGGCUGGUGUCUUAUGUAGCCUUUUGUAUCUGUUCUUCCCUCCAGCCUAGCUCCCCAGUGCUCCCUGUCUGUUGGACCUAAAUAAAGUUUCAAUGUGUGGCGGGUCUUACUCGCCC